rnacentral:rRNA from 1 species
GUGGACGCCAGUCUGCAUGGAGCCGGCCUUGAAAUACCACCCUUUAAUGUUUGAUGUUCUAACGUGGACCCGUAAUCCGGGUUGCGGACAGUGUCUGGUGGGUAGUUUGACUGGGGCGGUCUCCUCCUAAAGAGUAACGGAGGAGCACGAAGGUUGGCUAAUCCUGGUCGGACAUCAGGAGGUUAGUGCAAUGGCAUAAGCCAGCUUGACUGCGAGCGUGACGGCGCGAGCAGGUGCGAAAGCAGGUCAUAGUGAUCCGGUGGUUCUGAAUGGAAGGGCCAUCGCUCAACGGAUAAAAGGUACUCCGGGGAUAACAGGCUGAUACCGCCCAAGAGUUCAUAUCGACGGCGGUGUUUGGCACCUCGAUGUCGGCUCAUCACAUCCUGGGGCUGAAGUAGGUCCCAAGGGUAUGGCUGUUCGCCAUUUAAAGUGGUACGCGAGCUGGGUUUAGAACGUCGUGAGACAGUUCGGUCCCUAUCUGCCGUGGGCGCUGGAGAACUGAGGGGGGCUGCUCCUAGUACGAGAGGACCGGAGUGGACGCAUCACUGGUGUUCGGGUUGUCAUGCCAAUGGCACUGCCCGGU